AAAAAUUUCACUCAAUCAAGAGCACAAAGAUUAUAAUAGGCAGGCUGUACAUCAAAAUAGUUAUUAAAACAGAAUUUACCAAUAGUCCACAAAUCAAAACUAAAGAAGUAAUUCAAACCUUGAGAAGUAAUACAUGCCUAGUUGCUCAUUCAUUUAUAAGAUUUUUCCUUUCCAGAGAGAGGUUAAAGAAACAAAUAUGGCCCUGACUGAAGAAAAAAAUCAACAAAUGUGUUCACUUAAUUUUAUGAUUUCUAAAAAUAAACUACACAAAUGAGGGAGAAAUUGGACCCUUCAGAUAGGAAGACCUAGUGUUAUUAAAUAAAGAGCACUUUUUAUGCAUUUGAAUGUAUUUAAAGGGGGAAAAAAUGUCAGUACUUGGAAAAUUCCAGAAACUUCCUCCCCUCAAAUGACAAGUACACAAUUUAGUUUGUUUGUAUAAAAACGAUAAUUUAUUUCACAUGAAAAUAUACAGAGGAAGUCAAGUAUGAGGCCAAGGACCCAAGUUCUUUCCUCAGAAUGCGAGCAUUCGGGGAAGCUUUUCUGCCCACUUCCCACAGCAGUGAAGGUGUCCGUGAGCUCCCCUGCCGGGAAGAGGCCUUACAGAGCCUCAUCUGCUGAGCCCUUGACUAUCCAUCAGCCAUCUCGGAGGCAGGGCUGGGGGCAAGGUGAAGAGGACUCAAUAGUAUGAUGCAGGUAAGUUGGUAGUGGCAGUGACCAUUACCAAAGGAGUACAACUUUACCAAAAGCAGUCACUAUAAAUAGAAAAUUCACUGUCAGACACAGUGAUAACUAUGUCAGAGUACAUGGGUUACAGGGAAAGUUGAUAAUGAGAGAAACACUUGGUUGAGUCAUAAUAAGAAAUGAAGAAACAAUAUCAUGACAUGUUAAUGGGAACAUCAUUCAAAUUACACAAAUUAAUUUGUAUUUAAAUCAUUUUUCCAAAGCAUAUUGUAUGCAGAAGAUCAACUGUACUAUAUAGAAGAUAUGCCUCUUUUUCUGUAGUCUCCCCGGUCCAUCACAGAAGAGUAUUACUAAUAGCCAAUAGCCUUCCAUAAUGCUAUGACAAUUAUCUCUGGAGCCUCAGAGAUCAUUGUUUCACUGGGUAACAUUUACAGAGAGUGGAGGCAAAUACACACACACAAAAUUGUCUCCCCACGAGGAAAUGUAUAAGCCAAAGAACCACAAAUAGUGACUCUUCCAUUCACAUACUUAAAGAGUUUUCACUCAAAAGACCUAAAUGUGAAAUAACCCGAUUUCCUGGUUUAGCUAAACAGUCCUUGUUUAUUUUUGUUUCCCCACAUAAUUGUAAUAGUACAGCCACCCUCCCUCCUGUAAAAGUGUUCCAGUUUGGACAAUAAAUUAUAUGGUGA